GGCUCCACACUGACAGCAGAGAGCUCUAUGUGGGGCUCGAUCUCACUAAUCACAAGAUCACGACCUCAGCCAGAAUGGGACACAUAGUGACCGGGCUACCCAGGUGCCCCAGUAUUACUUUAACUUUAAAGCAUUUUACAUGAGACCGUAUUUGUUGGUCAAACUCAGGAGUGGAUUCUCUUGUUUGGUCAACUCUAAUUCUUGGUGAUGAAGGAAAUGUUUCAGGACAUCUAGAAACCUAGAAUUCUCAGAGUCAUUUUGCCUUCUCCUUAUUUUCUGUCCAAAAAAUAUAAUACCUUUUUUUAGAUAUAAUCAUGCAGAUUUCUGUUCUGUUGGUGAGAUGAUUUACUUCUGCGUGUGUCUGAGCAGACCAAGCUGCCAAUUUGUAAGGAGCCUGCAGUUAGGGUCUGCUCAGAAGGAGGACAAAGGUGCUUGACCUUUCCGGACCUGCGUCUUGGGGGAAAUUUGUCUGACGGCAACAGGGUCCAGUCACAUUCCCAUUACCUGUUUGGGACAGGCUUAAGAGGCCCAGUCCUUUCCGGUUUUGGAACAGAGUUCUCCUGAGGGCAUUGCAAGCAUGCAUGUGUUAAAUUUAUUGCCAUGCUGUGAAAUUUACAUUUCUGAAGAAAGUAUACCUAGCUUUCAUUUCUUGCAUACAUCACUUACUGGUAUUAAUUUAAUUAGUUUCCCACCCCCAUCUCACCAUCCGCCCCAAGGAGAGAGAAAAAUUAGAAAUGGUGAGGACGGUUAAAGCCAGGUCUUUAAAGGGGAAUUCAACCAAGGGUCUCCCAAGAAUGAUCAACCAGCACUCUAGCAUCCUACUUAAUACCUUUCUAAUUAACCAAGCAGUCUGGUUCCUAGUUCAUAGCAAACUGAAGACAGCAAAUUGGAAAGACGAGUGGGCUGACAAGAGCAAAGAUGACAGCAAACAGAAUAGUAAGAAUACCGACGACCAAAACGUUAGAGCCAGAUUUGGGAAUUUGGGAGGCCAGCUCCUGGAGACAUUUGGCGGAGGAACAACCCAAUCAGCAUACCUCAGUAACCCCUGAGGGCAUGGCUGUUUCAGACCAGGGUGCCGCCGUUAGUAAUCAAGAAGACAAACUCUGAUACCAUUGGUUAGUGACAAAGAAUCUCUCUCUGGCCAAACUUUAUCCACGUUCCUCUGAACCUCCUUCUUGACAAGGCCUCCACAUCAGCCCGUCCUUGCCAGGUCUGCAUAAUCUAGUUGGGGCAAGAAUCCUGCUAGGUUGGUUUAGAGAUAUCUGGUCUCUUGAUAUCUGGUCAUCCUCAAUAUCUGAUCAGAUUCCUUACCCCUCACCCUUAGUAUGUGACCACUCUGGACUGCCCUCAGGGAGAAUCCUCCUGCCCUUGAUAUCUCCUCUUGAUAAUUUCCCACCCAUUGGCCCUUCAGUCAGCUCCUUGGCUGUGAAUUCCAACCUGUACUUGUAUAGGAGUUGAGCCCAAUCUCUCUCCCCUGUUGGGAUGGUCUUGAUGCCUAUUGCAAUAGUCCUAAAUAAAGUCUUCCUCACCAUUUCAACAAGUGUCAGAAUACUUUCUUCUUUAAUUGAGAAGACAAACCUGUCUUAGAGGCUUGAAUGUAGAUACUUCGGCUGUUCUCCAUGCUAAUUCCAGGAAGUUUAGGUACUAGCUCCUAACCCACUUCUGGGUAGCACAAAUCUGAGAGAGGGAGCUAAGGUGAUUAUUAUUUUGAGUUGGUUUAUACCAAAGGCAGGGAUGUAUAAGUUGUUUAUUGGCAAGAGUUCCCAGUUGAACCCCAGCCCAUGUCUACUUAGCAAGUGUCUCGCCAUGGAGUGGGGCUGUGUUUCCAGAGUAAAGGAUGCCUUUUUCUAAUUUUUUUUACAGAAGCUCCAUAAGUUCACUAAAUUGUGAACCUAUGGGGCACAUCCUCCUGAAGAGUCACAUUUAAAUACCUAUCAAAGGUGCAGUUUGGAAAAGUCUGAACAAAGAUGUGGGAUGGAGAACAGGGCAAAAGAUAAAUUUGACCAAACACAUUCAGCAGCAAAUCAGCUGUAACAGAAAGAAAAUAAAUAUCUGCAUGUUGAGUCACCUCCUUGUAACACCAGUGGUUCUCAAACCUUGGUGUGCUCCAGAAUCAUUUGGGGGAGCAGAUUCCCAGGCUACCCCUCACUAGCAGUUGGACUCAUUAGUGCUGGGACCUGGGUAUCUGUGUUUUAAAUAAGCACUUAUCUGAUUCAGGUGCUUGAGGAUCUUCUUGGCCCACACACACUUUGGGAAUCAUCAUUUGGGAAGCCUGCAGAAUCUGCUUAAGGAAGGAACUGAUUUUUGGUUUAUAGAAGCACCUUACUAGGCAGAUUUUGGUUUCUCAAAGGCAAAGUGUUUGAAUUGAGUCUAGAAGAAGAGAUGUGAGCAAAGACAGUGCAGUGCUUAUCAUCAUACAUAGUCAAGUAACAGGAAUCUAGAAAUUGUUGGAAGCCUGUGAAGGAGGAGAUGCUAGGAAGAUGAAGCGAGGAGCCCAGCAACUUGGUAGGAGGUCAGGGCUUGGGUAGAAGAUUGGUUGAACAAAGUUCCCAGGGGUGGGAAUAAACAAGGAACUUUCUAGAACAGUAAUGUUGACUAUUUGCAGUUGCUUACUAGUAUGGGUUAUAAUCUCUUUUUGUUACCCUGGAACCCUCUGUAAGUCUGUCUCACAAACCUGUCUUGUGCCAUUAGUCAUUUGUGGAGAAAGGAGAGGCCCACGCUAGGAGCCAACAUAGAAAGGGAACUGAGGGCUUUAGUAAGGAGGAAGGAACCAACAGAGAAGCUGGCCAUAGUAAGCCCCAAUUGAGAAGGGGUGAGCCAUGAAUCCUCCCUCUCCCUGAAGGUCCUAAAGCAGUGGUAUCCUACCUUUUAUGAUUAAAUAACUCUAUCAAUAAAGAAAAAUUUUUGGCACAGAGCCCUCCCCCCAUAUAUAUGCAUAUGCAUUUAUUUUUGUCUAUUGUAUACCACUCUACUAUUGACAUUAUAAAACACAUGUAAAAAUUGAGGUAAAAAAAAGAGAUGGGAAAUCAGCAUGAGAGUUCUAACAAUUUAUGCUUGUGUUUCAGGGGAUUGGGUUGCGUCGCUACUGGAGCACAUGGGUUCCAUGUUGGAAAGCCUGACCAAAAGGAAGGUGACCCUUUAAGUAGGGGAAGGACGACCUUGCUGCACUGUGGAUAGGGCCUAUUUAGUUAGCAGACACUUGGAUUACUCAGAAACCCAAAUUAUAGAAGAAGAGUGUGGAAAGAAAUAAGGUCUAUGCUCAGGCCAAAGGAUUGUGCUAUAUAUGUUGCUCAAAGUUGGUUCCGUGAGAAGAAAACCCAUGGGAAGAAUACUUCAAUUAUAACCACUUGUGACCACUAAUUAAAAAGGAGGAAGAGGGGCGCCUGGGUGGCUCAGUCGAUUAAGCGGCCGACUUCGGCUCAGGUCAUGAUCUCGUGGUCCAUGAGUUCUAGCCCCGCGUCGGGCUCUGUGCUGACAGCUCAGAGCCUGGAGCCUGCUUCAGGUUCUGUGUCUCCCUCUCUCUGACCCUCCCCUGUUCAUGCUCUGUCUCUCCCUGUCUCAAAAAUAAAUAAAUGUUUAAAAACAAAAAGUUUAAAAUAAAAGGGAGGAAGAAAACCCAACUUCCUCAACGCAGCAGCCUUAAGACAUUCAAUUCUUGGUUGCUGAGCAUGUGUUUUGGGGCUCUGGGUCAGACAUCUUUGGGCUCUCAUACAGACAACAGCAGGUUGGCUAUAAGCCCCUUCACCAGGGCUCUGGGCCCCAGCUCUUGCUUUUUUUCAUUUUAACUUUUUUUUUUACUGUGAUAGAAUACACAUAACAUAAAAUAUGCCAUUUUAACCACUUUAAAGUGGCAUUAAGCACAUUCACCACGUUGUGGGAACCAUCGUUACUAUCUGGCUCCAAAGCUUUCAUCACCCCAAACAGAAACUUCAUACCUAUCAAGCAAUAAGUCCUCAUUCUCUCCUUCCUCCAGCCAUUAGUAACCUCGAAUCUACUUUCUGUUUUUAUGAAGUUGCCUAUUCCAGGUGCCUCAUGCAAGUGGAAUCAUACAGUAUUUGUCCUGCUGUGUCUGGCCUAUUUCACUAAGAAUGAGGUUGUCGUGGUUCAAGUAUGUUGUAGCAUGUUUCAGAAUUUCGCUCCUUUUCAUGGCUCAGUAAUAUCCCAUUGUAUGGAUAGACCAUAUUUUGCCCAUCCAUUCAUUCAUCGAUGAACACUUACUUGGGUUAUUCCCACCUUUCGGCUAUUUUGAAUAAUGCUGUAAUGAAUAUGACUGUAUGCAUAUCUGUUUGAAUGCCUGCUUUAAAUUCUUUUAGGUAUAAGAGUACGAUGGCUAGGUUAUAUGGCAAUUCCAUGUUUCGCUUUUUGAGGAACUACUGAACUACUUUCCACAAUGGCCAAACCAUUGUACAUUCCCAACAGCAAAGUGUGAGGCUUGCAAUUUCUCCACAUCUUUGUCCACAUGCUUGUUAAUUUCCAUUAAAAAAUAUUAUAGCCAUUCUAUUUAGUGUAAUGUGGCAUCUCAUUGUGAUUUUAAUUUGCAUUUCUCUAAUGAAUAAUGACAUUGAGCAUUUUUUCAUGGCUAUUUGGCCAUGUGUAUAUCUUCUUUAGAGAAAUGUCUAUUAAAGUCCUUUGCCCAUUUUUUAAUUGGGUUGUUGGUUGAGGAUUUCUUUAUAUAUUCAGCCUUUAUUAGAUAUACAAUUUGCAAAUAUUUUCUCCCAUUCUGUAGGUUGUCUUUUUGUCCUUUGAUGGAUAAAACUUUUUCAUUUUAAUCAAGCCCGGUUUUCUAUGUUUUCUUUAAGGACUCAUGCUUUGUGUCAUCACUAAGAAUCCAUUGCGAAUCCAAGAUCAUGAAGAUUUGGCCCUAUGUUUCCUUCCAAUAAUUUUGUGGUUUUAGGUCUCAUGUUUAGGUCAUUGAUUCAUUUUGAGUUAUUUUUGUAUAUGGUGUCAGGUAAGGAUCCAACUUUAUUCUUUUGCAUAUGGAAAUCCAGUAGUCCCAGCACCAUCUGUUGAAGAGACUGUUCUUUUUCCAUUGAAUAGUCUUGGAGUCUUUGUUAAAAAUCAAUGGCUCACGUUUUGUGGUUUUUUUCCUGGACUCUCAAUUCUAUUCCAUUGGUGUCUAUGUCUACCAUUAUGCCAAUCCUACACUGUUGGAUUUUUUUGCUUUGUAGUUGAAGUUUUAGAACUGGGAAGCAUGAGUCCUCUGACUUUGUUGUUUUACAAGGUUAUUUGGCUACUCAGAGCCCCUGGUAAUCCAUAUAAAUUUGGGAAUUGAUUUUUCCACAUUUUUAAAAAAAUGUUGUUGGAAUUUUGAUGGGAUUGUGUUGAAUUUGUAGAUCACUGUGGGUCUAGCUCUUGUUUUUUUUCCUGGACUAUUAGGAUGAUCAAGAAGCCUUCUCACCUCAUUCCAGAGGGACUAACCUUUGAAACUUCUUAACCAGAAGGUUUAACAACUGCCCAGCACUCUGUGCAUGAGGAAUUUGAAAGAGUAAGCCAGUCAGAACGUUCAGUGCCAAUCUUUUCUCCAAGUACUGGCUGAGUGCAUCAUUCAAAACACCAACACAUCUCUCUUUUGCAUUUGUUCCAGCCUGGAGAUUACACUUUAGAACCCACUGUCUUAGUGGUGCUUGAUGAAUCAGCACCCAAUUGAGGAACUGAAAUUGAACCAGCUGGAUAUUUUAAGGCUAAUUGGGAAGCAUUGAACUAACUCUUAGCUUUCCAGUAACUAUUCCCCUUUUGUGAAUGUAUUUUAGUCCUUUUGUAGUUAAAUAUAUUUUGCAAUUCAUAUAUGUAUUGGCUAGGGAUGCGUUCAAUCGCAUGGAACAGAAGAUGUAUUUUUCUCAUAUAAUAAGCCCAAAGGUAGGUGUUUCCUGGCAUUAGUUCAGGCACUCAAAGAUUUCAGGGCUAGCAUCUUUACAGUUCUUUUUGCCUUUCACUCAUUAUCUCAAGAUGGCUUCACGACUCCAAGUAUCAUGCCCACAUUCAUAACAGGAAAGGGCGGGAAGGGCACCCCAGAGCUUAUAUUAAAGAGAAACUUUCCUAGAAGCUCACAGAAAUCUCCCCAUUAUAUUUUGUUAGUUAGAUUUGUGUCCCAUGGUUGGACAACCCUGUAGUUGCAAAAGAGCUGAGAAUUUAGGGAACAGGAUUGUCAUGAUUACCUUCAACCAAUCCUGAUCCAUUGCUUGGAGCUAGGCACAUUACUUUCCUAAACAAAAUUGGGUUUCCUGAACAAAAUUGGGAUUCUGUGGGCAAGGAAUAAGAAGAAAUAGGGAAUCAGUGUACUAGCAGAUGUAUAUUAUUUUAUUAUAUGUUUCCUUAACACUUUCUACCUCUUGUGGGCUUGUUCUCAUCCUUGAUAUUCUAAGAAUACCAGAAGUCAUCUUGAUCGUAUUGUCUUUAUUUCCUUAUUGGGCCUACAGAGUGGUUUGGACACACAGUGAAUACGCAAUGAACAUGGGGUGAUCUCACCAAUAGACAAACCAGAAAGUUGCCAUCUUCAGGAGAAUAUGUGCAGGAGAGGGCUGGAAGGUGGUGUUCCCCUUCUGUUGAUAAAAGCCUGGUUAGGUUAGUGUAGAGACAGUAGGGCAUGGCCAUCCUGUUGGUCUGUAAGCAAAGGGGGGAGCAGUGUUACAGGCUCCAUGUCUUUAAAGUCUUAGUUCACAAUACCCAUGAUACUUCCUAACCGUAUCCUUUAGGUGUUAAAACAUUCUCUUUUCUUGCCCUUUAGGAAAAAAUGCCACGUUUGAAAAUGCAUCUCAUCAGUGAUUCAAUCAAAGAAAUAUCUUAAUGAGAACAGGAAUAGGAAAAAAUUCCCCAACAUUGUAUCUGGGUAGACUUUAAUAGCUAAUUUAUAUUUCCAAAUAUGAAUAUAAAUCAAAAGGCUAAAUACUGGAAAGUCAAAAAUAUUCCAUAUUUGGCAUUAAAGUCAGGGAAUUGAUCACAUUUGCUGAGUGUAGCUUAUAAAAAGUGCUAAUUUAUGGCUAAGUAAUUAAACUGGGAGACAGAUGGAGAAUCAAAUGAGUUUUCCCCACAUCCAAAUUUGCAUACAGUUUCUGAUGGUGCAUUCUCUCGUUGCUCUAUAUGGUGGGCUCCAGUAUUGGAAGAACAUGAAGAGCUAUUUAUGUCAGUUUUGCUCAAGCAUCUCCAAAGAAAGAAAAGGGGGAUGAUACAGAAUCACAAACUGAGAUAAAAUACAGAGCCCAGUUAGAAGUUCUGUCCUGCUCCUCAUUCAUUCAUUCCUUUUGCUUCCAUUCCAUGAUGGGAAUAGCAGGCAACUGUGGAAUUAUGCAAUUCUCUCCAUUCUCCAUUGUGUAAUGGGAAGUGCACUGGUCCAGGAAUCAGAAGGUAAUUUAAUUUCAGUUUUCUCUGUAACUAGCUAUGCGACGUUGGGCGACUCUCUUCUCUCUGGUCCUUAGUUGCCUCAUUAGACAUUGAGUUUAGCGUUGACUAGACUAUCUCUAGGCAGUAUUGUAUGGUGGAAAAAGCAAGGGCCCUUUUGAUCUUGGACCAACCACAUACGAGCUGAGGAAUAUUUGAUAAAUUACUUUAACCACCACUUGUGCUCCAGUCUCUUAUCUGAAUAGAUUAUCUCUAGGCAGUAUAAGUAUGUUAGAGAAAGCAAGGGUUCUUUUGAUCUUGGAUUAACCACAUACUACUUGAGGGAUCUUCAACAAAUUACUUUAACCACCACUGUGUGCUACAGUUUGUUAUCAGCAAAAUGGGGCUGUUGGGUGAUUUCAUGCAAAACUCUUAGAAAGUGCUUGACAUAUAAUAAGUACCUCUCAAAUGUUGGGUGCUUAGUAUCUCUAAGACUGUCUCCUGCCCUGAGACUUUGUGAGUCUAUGUGUCUGUCUAUUCUCUGAGUCUGUGAAGGAAGGUAACUUAAUGAUAGUCAAUCUAGCCUACUUCCAUCCUGCAUCAGGCUUGCAAUUUCUGGAAAUCGUUAGCAGGGAUUAUUUAACUGUCUGGGCCUUAUUUACAUUGCCCUUGAUGGCACAGUGCCACCAGACAUAAAGAGUUCAAUCCCUCCCAGGCCAGGCCAGUGCUUACACCCACCAGGGCACAUGGUUCAUCAAUUAGUAUUGUCUCAGAGUUAUGCUGAGUUGCCAGUGAAACUCGUAGAAGAAAACCUUAACUCUCUUCUCCAUCUUCCAUGCCUUCAAUCCCAACAUUUGGGAGAGAGGAUCUGGGUGUCUGUGCCCCUGGGAUGACAUGAAGCGCAGCUCUGUGAUCUAGACUCGGGCUGUCAGACCCCUGUCCUCAAUCCACACAUACACCAACACAGUGGGUGCCAAGGAGAGAAGCAGCUUCUUCGUCAUGGUUUGCAGAGACCACUUUGCAGACGGUCAUGGUCAGGGCAACCGGGUGCCACUUGGUUUUACAAUCCCUUUCAUUUUCAUUUUUGUGUUGUAGUCAGUUGUUAGGGAUGACAAAAGUAUGGAAGUGUUUAAAACAGUUUGAAAAGAUGCCCAUGGCGGGCAUCACUGUGUGGCAACCAGUCUGCUUUCCUGAAAUUAUCUUCACUUACUUCUUGAUGUCUUACUGUGAUAGCCAGUCAAGAUGCUCUGCCCUUCCCUGCCCAGGAGGUAAGAAGUGGGUCCAAUCCAGGCAACUUGGCUUCUCCUCUGACUUGAAAUCUUAGGCAAAAUGGCUAAGAAUGGGUGCCGGGCAUUCUCCAUUCAUCAUCUCUUUGGUUCCACUCUCCGGCCACCCACCCUGGUCAGUGUCUUAGGAAGUUGGUAUUUACAGCCUACCUCAGCGGACUUCCUUGACCUCUAGAUUCCAUUUGUGUUUGGCCAGUGGAAAGCACUGGUGGGAGACCAGCGGGUAGAAGAAGAGUGAACUUGGGUUUCUUUUUCACCUUCCUCCCUCCCUGCCAGGCAGUGUGGUUUGGCUCUUUCCCUCCACUAAUGCCUCAGCUCUGGAUAGGAGCUCCACAGAUGAGUAAUUUCUUUCCAGUUUAGUACCAUAACAGAAGGCCAGUCCUGAUGACCACUCUUUAAAAAUCAGUAUCAAUGUGAGUUGAAAACUGUCUGGAAGCUCUGAAAGGAUUGUUGUUUUGUUUUUCAAAUAUCAGAAUUAACUUAUAACCUCUUUCUUUUUUGUGUGUUAUAAUCAAAGCAUGAUUGUAUUUAGGGUUGUCUAUUUCCCCAUAUAUACUUUAAAAGUCUUUUAAAAUAUUGAGAUAAUUUACCAUCAUAAAAUUCACCCUUUUAAAUUCUUUUUUAAUGUUUAUUUAUUUUUGAGAGAGAGAGAGAGAGAGAGAGGCAGAGAGAGAGGGAGACACAGAAUCUGAAGUAGGCCCCCAGGCUCUGAGCCUGAUGCAGGCUCGAACUCACGAACCACAAGAUCAUGACCUGAGCCGAAGCUGGAUAAAAUUCACCCUUUUAAAGUACACAAUUCAGUGGAUUUCGGCAUAUUUCUAGAACUGCACAGUCACCUCCUCUAUCUAAUUUCAAAACAUUUUGUCAUCCCAACAAAGAAACCUCAUACCCACUACGCAGUCCCUCUCCAUUCCUCCCUUCCCCUCAGCCACUGACAACCAUGAAUUAUUUUCUGUCUCUAUAAUUUUUCCUCUUUUGGACAUUUCAUGUAAACUGAAUCAUACAAUACAUAGUGUUUUAUGACUGGUUUCUUUCACGUUGCAUAAUAUCUUCAGUGUUCAUCUAUGUUGCAGCAUGUAUCAGUAUUUCUUUCCUUCUUACGGCCAAAUAAUAUUCCAUUGUAGGGAUAUACUACGGUUUGUUUAUCCAUUCACUGGUUGAUGGACAUUUUGUUUCUACUUUUUGAUUAUUAUGAAUAAAUGGUGCUAUGGGUA